CUCCAGUCAUCCGCUUAGCGGAUCUGAUGAGCCCCUCGAUUCGUUACACUCACUCGGGAUUAUAAUCCUGAUGAAUCUUUUGACAGUGAGCUUAGUCGAACUGCUCAAAGUGAGUCGAAGGACGAAACUGGAA
rnacentral:hammerhead_ribozyme from 30 species